rnacentral:rRNA from 2 species
AGCAGCCGCGGUAAUUCCAGCUCCAAUAGCGUAUAUUAAAGUUGUUGCAGUUAAAAAGCUCGUAGUUGAAUUUCGGGAUCAGUACGCUGGUCGUGCCUUUGGUAUGUACUGGUGUCACUGAUUCCUCCCUUCUGAAGAACCGUUAUGCCAUUUAUUUGGUGUGGCGGGGAAUCAGGACUGUUACUUUGAAAAAUUAGAGUGUUUAAAGCAGGCUCGCGCUUGAAUACAUUAGCAUGGAAUAAUGAAAUAGGACGUUUGAUCUUAUUUUGUUGGUUUCUAGGAUCGACGUAAUGAUUAAUAGGGAUAGUUGGGGGCAUUAGUAUUCAAUUGUCAGAGGUGAAAUUCUUGGAUUUAUUGAAGACUAACUACUGCGAAAGCAUUUGCCAAGGAUGUUUUCAUUAAUCAAGAACGAAAGUUAGGGGAUCGAAGACGAUCAGAUACCGUCGUAGU